UUAGAUAUUUGGUGAUGAGUAUAUGUGAUAGCAGUAUGGACUCUUUUGCAUUUGAUAAACAACUUAAAUAUUAUCUCUUAAAGGAGAAAUUCCUGACAGCCCUACAGAGCGUCAGAAGAUAAAACGGGCGUCUACGAAUGAUACCCUCAAAGGUGAGAUCUUGUCACUGCUGCCAGCUGAAUGACCCCAUCAAACUGUUGUGCCAGUCUUGCAUUCCAUUAAGGUAAAAGAAGCUUGGGAGGUGCUUGGUUUAGAUUGAUUGAACCACUACCAGAAACACAA